GACGAACGCUGGCGGCGUGCCUAAUACAUGCAAGUGGGGCGCAAGGAAACACACUGUGCUUGCACACCGUGUUUUCUUGAGUCGCGAACGGGUGAGUAACGCGUAGGUAACCUGCCUAUUAGCGGGGGAUAACUAUUGGAAACGAUAGCUAAUACCGCAUAAUAUUAAUUAUUGCAUGAUAAUUGAUUGAAAGAUGCAAGCGCAUCACUAGUAGAUGGACCUGCGUUGUAUUAGCUAGUUGGUAAGGUAAGAGCUUACCAAGGCGACGAUACAUAGCCGACCUGAGAGGGUGAUCGGCCACACUGGGACUGAGACACGGCCCAGACUCCUACGGGAGGCAGCAGUAGGGAAUCUUCGGCAAUGGACGAAAGUCUGACCGAGCAACGCCGCGUGAGUGAAGAAGGGUUUCGGAUCGUAAAGCUCUGUUGUAAGUCAAGAACGUGUGUGAGAGUGGAAAGUUCACACAGUGACGGUAGCUUACCAGAAAGGGACGGCUAACUACGUG
rnacentral:rRNA from 1 species